rnacentral:rRNA from 1 species
UACGUAGGGUGCAAGCGUUAAUCGGAAUUACUGGGCGUAAAGCGUGCGCAGGCGGUUAUGUAAAGACAGAUGUGAAAUGCCCGGGCUUAAACCUGGGAACUGCAUUUGUGACUGCAUGGCUAGAGUUUGGCAGAGGGGGGGUAGAAUUCCACGUGUAGCAGUGAAAUGCGUAGAUAUGUGGAGGAACACCGAUGGCGAAGGGCAGCCCCCUGGGUCAAGACU